CAGUCGCCACGGGAAUACGUAGGUGGCAAGCGUUAAUCGGAAUUACUGGGCGUAAAGCGUGCGCAGGCGGUUGUGUAAGACAGGUGUGAAAUCCCCGGGCUUAACCUGGGAACUGCGCUUGUGACUGCACAGCUAGAGUAUGGCAGAGGGGGGUGGAAUUCCACGUGUAGCAGUGAAAUGCGUAGAGAUGUGGAGGAACACCGAUGGCGAAGGCAGCCCCUGGGCCAAUACUGACGCUCAUGCACGAAAGCGUGGGGAGCAAACAGGAUUAGAUACCCCCGUAGUCCCUGUCUCUUAUACA
rnacentral:rRNA from 1 species